CUAUUCACCUCAUGGAGGAGACUCUAUUCUCACGCUGGUUGUUAUCCCAAGACAAGGCUCACACAAUGCUUUCGAGGAUUGUUGAUCCUCCGAUUUCCCCAAAUGCGGGAAACUUGAAUUAAUAAUUAGGUAGUGGGGUCCUGCGGACGUGCUCCCCCCGA